GUUUGUAUUGUACCAUUGUAGGUGGUCUCAGUGGUGUGCUAGUAAAUGUUUAACAGACAGCUCUCUAGAGCCCUGACUUGUAGUGUCUGCCAAUUUCCAUGGUGUAAAUACUCCCAUUGUGGCCAAUUUCAAGCUACCAAUCUGAUGUCACUGAAUGAGGAAUUAGAAAGAAAUGUGCACAAUUAGUUCUUAUCACAGUGCAAGCCAGCUCCAGCCACCCCUACCAAUUUUCCCAGUGGAAUUCCUAAAUACAAAUCUCUACCUCAGUCUUUUUUCAGGGUAACCUAAACUAAAUCAACAGAAAACCAUCAAUUAUUUUCAUAUUAUUUUUAUUUAUUUUAAAACUAACAUUUUACAGGCACAAUAAAGUGAAAUUGGUCGUUUCAAAUGUUUCAGUGAAACAUACAUUUCUCUCUGUCCUUCUCACACACACAAAGACACAUGCACACACACACACACACACAUGCACACCCCACGUACAUCAGGACACCAUAAGACAAUGUCCCGCAAUAAUUACCUAAAAAUAUUUAAAAUACAGACUCUUUAAUUUUCUAAACAUUAUGCAGCUGAGUAGGGCAUUCUAAAGAACAGACUUCAAAUUGUUCUUACUGUUUUGAGACCAGGAAACAUUGCCAAGAAUUCACCAGAUGCUGUUCUUAAUUGCUGUUGUUACAAUUGUUAUUAUUGCUAUAAAUCAAAAUGUAUAUUUAAGAGUUAAUGUUUCAUCAUCAUCGGAACUUAGGUUUUUAAAUCAGAGUAGGCCAUUUAUAACAUUUGCUAUCUCUGAAGAAAAAUACAAAAGAAUAUUGUUCGUUUGAAGAACUGUUAAGACUUUUACCCUACUGAAGAGCUGUUGUUGGAAUAAAUAAUCAGAGGUUGAAGGUUGUUUUUUAAAGAGCAGGAAAAGAAAACAGAAGAAAGAUACUACAUUCAGGCCGGGCACGGUGGCUCACGCCUGUAAUCCCAGCACUUUGGGAGGCCGAGGUGGGAGGAUCACCUAAGGUCAGGAGUUCGAGACCAGCCUGACCAACAGGGAAAAACCUUGUCUCUACUAAAAAUAGAAAAUUAGCCAUGCUUGGUGGCACAUGCCUGUAAACUCAGCUCCUCAGGAGGCUGAGGCAGGAGAAUCGCUUGAACCCGGGAGGUGGAGGUUGCAAUGAGCCGAGAUCUUGCCAUUGCACUAUAGCCUGGGCAACAAGAAGAACAAAACUCUGUCUCAAAAAAAAAAAAAAAAAGAAAGAAAGAAAAGAAAGAUACCACAUUCAAAGCAAAUGGGCAUCUUAUAGGGAAUGAUACAGAAAACUGAAGAAGGCAUAAUUUUACCCAAAUGAAUCGCAGAUGGUUCUUCAAUAUUGGAUCAAUUUUUGUAGAAAGAGAAGUUACUUGGAAAAUGGGAACAAAAUGUCCCAAUGAGAAGAGAAGGUUGACUGUGGAAUAAAUUAAUUUUACCAGUAUAUAUACACUUAAUUAUGAACAAGAGAAUCAGAACAAGGUUCCUGCUAUUAGAGUCAAUUGGUUUAUCAAAUUAGAGUUUGAAUAAUGUUCUUAAAUUUUGGCAUAGAUUAGAAUCACGCAGGAAGGCUGGUUAAAAAUGUAGAUUCCUGGGCACUACAACUAUUAUGUUUCAGUAAAGGUCUGGUGUAGGGCCUAGGGGUAUGGAUUUUAGCCAGCUUCCUAGUAAAUUCCAAAGCCUGUCGUCUCUGUAAAAUCAAAGCAUGCUGAAAGGCAAUAUGGUUAAACGUCCAUGACACCAUCGUUUCAUAAUGAGAUUAGGAAUAAGUCUAUGCCAUUUCCUUAUUAUACAGAGAUAGCCUCCUUACAAAUAUCAUCUGGAACCUUUAUCUUCUGCUUUCCUGAGGUCAUUUUCAAGAACAUCUUCCAUUUAUUUCUCAACCAACCAGAUUUUCAUAGUUGCUUACUCCGUAAAGGAAAAAUGCAUAUGUGUAUGUGUGUGUGCAUGUGUGUAAAUGUGAACAGAAGGGCUGAGUGCGCAUAACAUUAUAGAAAAUUCUCUUUUCCAACAGAUCUAACCAAAGACACAUUUUUGGCUCUGAUAUAAUUAGAGCUAAGGUCGGGGCGGUGAUGUAGAGGGUAAUGGUUGAUGAUAUAAUUAUCAAGACUCAAUAAUCAAAUAAUUUUAAUCAUGAAUUAAAAUCAUGAAUUAAAAUCAUGAACUUAUUAGCCUAGCAUUUGAGAGCUUUUUCUUAAAAAAAUUAAAAAUCUCAUUAUUCACAAUCACCCUCCUAAUUAACCUUAUUCUAUAUGACAUAUACUCUAAUAUUAUUGGCCCUGUGGAGCUUGGGCACCUUCUAAUGCACUGUGGAAGCAUUCUACUUGGAUUAUACCUGUAUAUCAACAGUUGUUCUCAUACCUGUAUAUUCAACAUGGACUCUCUAACAGAAACAGGUCCUUUUGUUUUGUACAUUGCAGUGUAAUAAAUUGCCCCUGUACUCUUGAAUCUUGAUGAAAAGAGACUAACUUCCUCCCUGCCUUCCAUGCUGGGUAGGUAAGUAGUUUCCCACAAUGAAUUAGACCCAAUAUCCUCCAUGAAAGUAAUAAUAGUGGACAUUCCUGCUCAUGAAGACACAUGUCUAGGGGCUUAAAACUUGAAGUGUAGAUGUGAAGGUGUGUGUAAACAUCACAGACAGAUCCAGAAAGAAAGGAAGAUGUUUAUUGCUUUCCAUACCUUGUGGAAGGACUAGAUAUCUCGCUGUCUUUUUGACCU
rnacentral:tRNA from 10 species